rnacentral:rRNA from 1 species
GGGCCCGCACAAGCGGUGGAGCAUGUGGUUUAAUUCGAUGCAACGCGAAGAACCUUACCAGGACUUGACAUACUACAAAUUCUUUUGAGAAAGAGAAGUGCCUUCGGGAAUGUAGAUACAGGUGGUGCAUGGCUGUCGUCAGCUCGUGUCGUGAGAUGUUGGUUAAGUCCCGCAACGAGCGCAACCCUUAUUUUAGUUACCAAUUCGUUGGGUUCUCUAGAAAGACUGCCGGUGACAAACCGGAGGAAGGUGAGGAUGACGUCAAGUCAGCAUGCCCCUUAUGUCCUGGCUACACACGUGCUACAAUGGUUAAGACAAAGAGUCGCGAGCUCGUGAGAGUCAG